rnacentral:rRNA from 1 species
AUAGCAUGUCAGAAGGCAGACCCGGAGAACUGAAACAUCUUAGUACCCGGAGGAAGAGAAAGAAAAAUCGAUUCCCUGAGUAGCGGCGAGCGAAACGGGAAGAGCCCAAACCAACAAGCUUGCUUGUUGGGGUUGUAGGACACUCUAUACGGAGUUACAAAAGAACAUGUUAGACGAAUCAUCUGGAAAGAUGAAUCAAAGAAGGUAAUAAUCCUGUAGUCGAAAACAUAUUCUCUCUUGAGUGGAUCCUGAGUACGACGGAGCACGUGAAAUUCCGUCGGAAUCUGGGAGGACCAUCUCCUAAGGCUAAAUACUCUCUAGUGACCGAUAGUGAACCAGUACCGUGAGGGAAAGGUGAAAAGUACCCCGGAAGGGGAGUGAAAGAGAACUUGAAACCGUGUGCUUACAAGUAGUCAGAGCCCGUUAAUGGGUGAUGGCGUGCCUUUUGUAGAAUGAACCGGCGAGUUACGAUCGGAUGCAAGGUUAAGCAGCAAAUGUGGAGCCGCAGCGAAAGCGAGUCUGAAUAGGGCGUUGAGUAUUUGGUCGUAGACCCGAAACCAGGUGAUUUACCCUUGGUCAGGUUGAAGUUCAGGUAACACUGAAUGGAGGACCGAACCGACUUACGUUG